rnacentral:lncRNA from 1 species
CUCCUGACUCUGAACCAGUGCUUCCAGUAACCCACGGGUGGCUAACAUCAAAGACAAUAAAAUAUUAGGCCAUAAUAUGCCAGUUUCAGAUCUUUGAACUGUGAUCAAGCCAUCUAUUUCUUUAUCUCAGCCCAGACAGUAGUUACAAAAACGAUGCCCACAACAGGUAAAGCUGAAGCAGAAAGAAGCCACAAAGAAACCUUUUAGAAAUAGACACAAGGCCGUUGUGUUUUUUUUUUUUAUUGUCUACCUCCCACAUGCAGUCACAUGCUUCUUCCCUCUGUCUGUCUGCCUGUUCAGCUAAACCAUCCUGAGCUGAGCAGAAUCCCUUGCCCUCAUGUGAUCUGAAUGCACUGGCCUUAAGCUCCUCCACUGACGUAGUGAACAGCUCCUAAAUGCUGCUCACACGUCCUCACCGCAUCAUUACUGUUUAAUAACACACACUGAAGGACUGUCUAUUUGUGGAUUUUAGACUAUUUUUAAUGUUGCAUUGUUUCUUUGAAGCAGUGAUGGUCUUUAUAGUACGAGCUAAUCAAACCAAUACGACUGGUUGUCAGGAGAUAGAGACAAACGCUGCAUCCAUGACUGCAGCAGAUCAGUCCGGUUUAUUCUGGCUGUCGAGUUGAGGUGGGAGCAAUGGAAGAAGUAAAGUAUUUAUUACAUUGUAUCCACUGUGCACUGGGAUUCUGUCUCAGCCUUGUCAUUCCAGCUGUUGUGGGCUUGAAUCCUCUGCCUUCAUCGACUGUAACUUCAGCGUAUCCUGCACACAGGCCCGGUUCCAGCUGCUCCUCCACAGAUUGUCUAUCGCACCGUUCCAGAUGCAGCUUUCUGCUCCACCUGAAAGGGAAACAGCUGCGUAAACCUGCCGCUAUGACUUCACAGAAUGGACUCACACGGCUGAAGCAGCAGAGCUUCCAGAACUUCCCCACAGGAGCUGCUCACCUGCUACUCUAAGGGCAGGUUCAUGUUUUAACUGGAGCGUGGCCGGGAGCUGUUUGUAUCACAGCCCUGAUGGGCCCACGCCUUGUCUUUUGUGCCGUGGGGUGCAGAGAUCUGCAGCACCUCCCUCUCACUGGAAGGAAAGAGAUGUCACUCAGUUCAAGGCUCUGAAAUAUGAUUCACACCAGUCCAAUAAUGUUAUAAUAAAAAAAAUGUGUAUAAAUUUAAAUGCUCUUUU